rnacentral:misc_RNA from 1 species
GGAAAAUACAACAUUUAAUCAUUUUUCAGGAUAAAAUAAGUUUGAAAUUUCCCAUGAGCAUAUGAAAUAACAUAAAAGAAGAGGGAGAGGGCUCCAAUGGCAGAAGAUGGUCAUUAAUGCUUUCCUGUUUUGUCUUUUACUCCAGAGGCUGAAAAACCCAAAGCAAAAGCAAAAGUGCUUUGAGGAGUAUGCCUCCACACCCAGCCACAAGCAUUAAAUAUUUCACAAAAGAAACCAUAUGAAAACAAA